rnacentral:miRNA from 1 species
UGAAAUAGGUCUGCUAACUA